rnacentral:lncRNA from 1 species
UUGUCUGAUUUGUGUGCGUGACUCCAUAGGUUCAAACACUGAGCCGGUAGCACAGGAUCCAAUUCCUGUACUAAUCAAAAUACCAUCUAGCAAUGGUUAUCGACGUCUAGAUUGGUUGAAUUAUCGUAAAAGAAUAUUUCAGAACCCAUAUACAUGGUUACCACAUAAUUCAUCUUUUUGAUCCUGAAUGCUCUAGGAUGGUCUUAGGUUAACUGUCAAU